ensembl:ncRNA lncRNA:CR45563 long non-coding RNA:CR45563
GUUUCAGUCAAGUAUGUCAGUUAAACAGUGCCAAGUCUUGUAAGUCAAUUACCUGCCACUGAGCGGAAAUCUCCGACCGCUUACAUAAAGCUUACGUGUCCUUCUACUCAGCUCACUCUUACCACUUACCACUUUGUGUGGUGUUGCCUACUUUUGUGCGCAGCGCUGUCUCACUUCGCCGCUUCGACUGACAGGAUACAAAGCAAAUUCCCAAUGCAACGACUGCAUUAUGAUUGUCACUUCAAAUCCUUGAAAUGCUGAUUGAAUGGACGGCAAUUCGCUCGGAAAAGCCAGUCGGGAAUGGGGAGGUGGGUCGGUGUCGAGUUGGUGGAUACCCAGCACUCGAAUGCUGACGCAUAGCAUCAAACAUGGAGUGCAGCUGAACGUCACGCACUUGGCUGUCGCCGUUUUUAUGCUGCCAAUAAUUCAAACUGCUGUGCGAAUGCAAAAAUGACAAGCCAAGUUCUCGACUUUGAAGUGGAAUCGCAGAAUCGGAGAAUCGAUGCGCAGAAGCACUCAGGAGAUAACGACUGGCGACACAAACGACCGGAGCACAUCUACAUAGCAGAGCCCACUCCUCCACUAGUCUGGCAUAAUAAAUGAACUCCUAUUCCCCAGUCACGUCAUUUAAUAAUGCAAUCCCAGCCGAGAACGGAGUUGGCUCGCAAGGCUGUACAAUUAAUUUAUCAUCAUAAAAUAACGCAAUAAAUUUUGAAAUGGAAAUGCCCUGACCGCUGUCAAAAGUUUCCGG